rnacentral:rRNA from 3 species
GGUUAAGCGACUAAGCGUACACGGUGGAUGCCCUGGCAGUCAGAGGCGAUGAAGGGCGUGCUAAUCUGCGAUAAGCGCCGGUAAGGUGAUAUGAACCGUUAUA